rnacentral:rRNA from 1 species
ACUCCGUUCCCUUUUUUAUUUUAAAAAUCGUCUCGGCCCUUAUUUUUAAUUAAAGGUCGGAAAAUGAAUAUGGUUUUUAUGGGAGUGAAAUUUUUUAAAAGAAGAAUUCCCCUUCCGGGAAUGGUAAAAUCGGAGAGAACGACGUGAGGGGCCCCUUGCUGUUAUUGAUGUUAGUGCGAAAAAUGGGGAGCAACAAGAAUAAAUACCCUGGUAGUCUCUGCCCCACACCAUGUAACUAUCCGUUGGGGGCGUUUAUUUUUUUGGUUCCCUAACGCAAUAAUAAACCGCCCGCGGAGUACGGUCGCGGGUUAAAACUCAAAUGUAUUGAUUGGGGCCCGCCUCCCGGCGGAGCAUGGGUUUUUUUUAUUCUCGAAAAACAUACCGGUUUGACUUCUAUACCUUUCCAAAAAGAAUGGCUCCCUUCGCACUUAAUUCUUUGUUUCAAGGCGUCUCCCGCCGACCGCAAGUUGGGAUAUAG